GGGUGAAAACACUGUCAUACCAGGUUGAUUCUCAUUCUUAAAAGAAAAAAAAAUUGUUGGAUAUCUCAUACCACACAUGCUAUUUAUUUUCUAGUCUUUUUCUUGUAAGCUAUGUACGUACAAAGUCUGCACAAUGCAGUAUUAUUUUGUCAUAUUUUUAGUAGAGAAGGAUUCAAAAUCAUCUUCAAUUGUCAUUGAACACAAUAACCUAUCUUAUUUGUCCGAUGCUAAUCUUAUAAUGUCAUUGGACUGUGCAUGGGAGAUUUUCCAC
rnacentral:misc_RNA from 1 species